CAGGUAAAUUUGAACUUCAGAUAAACAACAAAUCAUUGUGUAGUAUAAGUAUGUCCCAUGAAAUAUUUGAGACAUACUUAUACCAAAAAUAUCUGUUGUUGUUUUA
rnacentral:miRNA from 1 species